UCGCCGCGACCGGCGCACGGUGAGUAACACGUAUGCAACCUGGCCGUGACAGAUGGAUAACCGGAGAAAUCCCGCCUAAUACAACAUAAUGCCGGGAGGGGACAUCCCCUGCCGGCCAAAGGGGCGACCCCGGUCACGGAUGGGCAUGCGGCGCAUUAGGUAGUUGGUGGGGCAACGGCCCACCAAGCCGACGAUGCGUAGGGGUUCUGAGAGGAAGGUCCCCCACAUUGGAACUGAGACACGGUCCAAACUCCUACGGAAGGCAGCAG
rnacentral:rRNA from 1 species